UCUCUCUCUCUCUCUCUCUCUCUCUCUCUCUCUUCACGGGACGGGGAUUAUUAUUAUUAUAUAUAUAUACACACACAUACAUAUAUAUAUAUAUAUAUAUAUAUAUAUAUAUAUAUAUAUAGAGAGAGAGAGAGAGAGAGAGAGAGAGAGAGAGA
rnacentral:miRNA from 1 species